GAUGAACGCUGGCGGCGUGCUUAACACAUGCAAGUCGAACGAGAAGUGAAGACGGAAACCUUCGGGCGGAAGGCUUUAUUUCGAGUGGCGGACGGGUGAGUAACGCGUGGGUAACCUGCCUCAUACAGGGGGAUAACAGUUGGAAACGACUGUUAAUACCGCAUAAGACCACAGCACCGCAUGGUGCGGGGGUAAAAACUCCGGUGGUAUGAGAUGGACCCGCGUUCGAUUAGCCAGUUGGCGGGGUAACGGCCCACCAAAGCGACGAUCGAUAGCCGAUCUGAGAGGCUGACCGGCCACAUUGGGACUGAGGCACGGCCCAAACUCCUACGGGAGGCAGCAGUGGGGAAUAUUGCACAAUGGGGGAAACCCUGAUGCAGCGACGCCGCGUGAGUGAAGAAGUAUUUCGGUAUGUAAAGCUCUAUCAGCAGGGAAGAAAAUGACGGUACCUGAGUAAGAAGCCCCGGCUAACUACGUG
rnacentral:rRNA from 1 species